rnacentral:lncRNA from 1 species
GAGUUGUUAUGGGGCUCUGAUUAGAAUAUAGAGCAAAUCACAGAGCCUCCUGCUAACAGGUGUGCAGACAAGCGCUAAGAUGAAAUGGGCCAAAUACGAGAGUCAGGAAACUUGUGUGCUGGUUUUACCUGUGACAUAAACCAGCAGUAUGAAUUUGGUCCAAACACGAAAGUGAAGCAGCAAGCAGCCCAUGACAAAUAUGUGCACUGCCAGCUAAUGAAUAUUGGAGAACAUGACACGUUGGAGAGCCCAGUGGGUCUUGAAAGUCUGAGUUCCAGCAAAUUCUCAUGUCUGCAUCGACUGCAGCAAGGUCAAAAGUUGGAAAGCAGGGAUAUUCGUUUUGCAGCCACAUCAGUUUCUGAUUAGACUUACAAUUUAAGUGGGGAAGUGACUUUGGAAGAGACAUGCGUGCUGUCAGCAGAUGGGAGAGAGGAUGGAGAAAGAUGGAGGGAGGCUGCUGUAACACCUGUUCUGGUUGGGAUUCUGAAUGAAUAUGAAAGAUCUAAUGUCUCUCACUAUCAAGUUCUAACCUAGAACUACUACACACUGCGCAAAAAGGUCCUUGAGAAUGUAAUUUGUCUGCCUUUCCACAAUGUCAUGGAGAUUUACAAGGAUGUGGUAGUGAUAUGCCACUGCUACUCCUUCACUUGCUCAUUCUGCAAAAGUUUGUAGAUCUUCUGCAAGGAGAACGGCAUUGUUAACUACCUACAGGAAGUGUCUCAGAUUAACAGACGUGUGUAGGAUUUCAGUCCCAUUUGAAUACACCCGAUGGAUGUACGACCUUGAGAAAUUUACUUAACACUUCCAGGUCAGCCCGGCGUGGUGGCUUAUGCCUGUAUUUCCAGCACUUGGGGAGGCCAAGCCGGGUGGAUCACGAGGUCAGGAGUCCGAGACCAGCCUGGCCAACAUGGUGAAAACCUGUCUCUACUAAAGAUACAAAAAUUAUCUGGGUGUGGUGGUGGGCGCCUGCAAUUCCAGCUACUCGGGAGGCUGAGGCAGGAGAAUCAUUUGAACCUGGGAGGCAGAGGUUGCAGUGAGCCAAGAUCACACCAUUGCACUCCAGCGGGGGCAACAGGGCUAGACUGCCUCUCAAAACAAACAAACAAACAAACAAACAAACAAAAACAUUUCGGGGUCAAAUGUUUGUCACCUAAAAACAAAGCCAUUGAGCAUAAGAAGAACAUAAUGGACUUUGGGGACUCAGGAGGAAAGUGUGGGAAGGGGAUGAGGGAUAAAAGACGACAAAUAUGGUGCUGUGUAUACUGCUCUGGUGAUGGGUGCACCAAAAUCUCACAAAUCACCACAAAAGAACUUACUCAUGUAACCAAAUACCACCUGUUUCCCAAU